UAUAAAGACUAUAUGAUUUGUGACAAAAUUUAUUAUUAUUAUUAUAAGUACAAACAGACAUUUAUACAUGGAAUUUAUGAAAAUUCAUUUAGAAUUAUAUAAUUAACCAGGUACACACAUUUAAGAUUUUCUUGCAUUAAUUUUCUUCCUUUGAUGUAUUAGGUGCAAAAGGCUGACCUUUACAUUACUGAGGAAGACAGGCAUAAAGAAUAACAAAACAAACCUAGUAUACCAGUUGGCUUGAGCUAGACACACUUUAUAACGAUGCACUAUGUAGAAUGAAACUCUUAUCUGCCUAUAGUAUGCAUGUAUGCACCCCACUCCAAAUGAUGUACCUGUCAAUGUCUUAAAAUGUCAAUGUCUUAGUAACACAGAUCCCCUCAAACACACACACACACACACACACACACACAUCAAGAUGCAUGAACACCACACUCUGAACAAUGAAACAAGUUUCUCUUUCCUUUAAGAGCUGUAAAAGUGUAAACAUAUGACCCUGAAGCCAACUGUGGGUCCCAUUAUUGCUGAUGCCAAAUUAAGUGUCUAAAAUGGAAAAGUUUACAACAUUCACUUGUAUAUCUUUACCGAACUUGAAAUUGAAUACAAAUAGAAGAAAAAAAAACUACUUGGAAAAAAGAAAAAGGCCUUCAGUCCUUUUCAAGGAAAUGAAUCAUCUCUAAAGUAAAAUACUAUUCAGUCUGAACAAGUGCCUCUUUCAAGGCCACCAUUUUGGUCCAGCCAAGGACAUGAUGACAAAUCUGCUAUCCUCAGCACAGUUUCCAUGCCAGCCCAAUGCAAUUUUUCUAUGUGCUCCAUUAUCAUCCUUAAAAUAUUAAAUGGAAAAAGAUUUUAAGCCACUUCGGGUUAAGCCACUUCCAUGUUUUAGAACAUGAAAUGGCUUAUAUGUAAUAGUAAAGCUAAAGUCGUAGAUCAUUUUAGGGCUUAGGGAGGGGGAACACUCAGCCACUUACUCUAAAACAAUUAUAAUUCAUAGACUGCAGCAGUGCUCAGAAUUGCUAAAGCUUUCAAAAACACUAAACUUAACCACAACUUUCAGCUGAAAAUAAUAAAUGUGGUAAGAUCGUUGACCUUGUUUGGAGAUGAACCUGGACACAUGUCCUAAAUUACCUAAUUGUGUGAGUGUGCACAAUGCAGUCCCAGUUUCCACAUCUAUAAAACUGGAAACACCCUUCUCAGAAUUUGUACCAGUAAUUUGUAAGUCUAUGAAGGUGCUAUCUUUACUAGAAUGCUUACAUGGGGCAAAGGUCAAGAAGGAUUAAGCACCACCCUUAGGCCAGCAAAAGAAAGAGAAUCACUUUUGUGGAAAUGUUACUACACAUUUAUUUUUAACAAAACCUGAAUUUUAUAAUAAUCCAUUAUAAUUUUAUAAUAAUUUUGUUGAAGGAAUGUAAGACUCCGAGUUUAGGUUACUGACUUCCAUAACACAGGGAAGGUAAGUAUUUGCAUUUAUUUAUUAAAAUAAUCAACCCACACACAGACCAUCACCACCACGACCACAGGAAGAAGCCGAUGAGUGGGUCAUGUCUUUCCCUUCUAAUGACAUUGAUUUUACAAAAUUGUGAAAACCCAAUUAUGAAAAUAACUGGCAGUUCUUCCACAUCAGCAACACUUUCUCUGAGCACACAAGGGGUCUAAGUAUUGAAAAAGAGCUUACGUAUUUUAUUGAAAAAUCCAGGAAAAGGGACUAGAUGCAAUCCUGAGUCCAAAAGAAAGAAACACUGGAGCCCUCAGAAUUGGGGCCUGAACUUCAUGCACACCCAAGGAGGAAGGCCCAUACACCUUUUCUCUUUUAACUAAGAGAAAAGGCUCAGAAUACCAGUACUGUAUUCUUCACCAGACACCAGCUAUAUAAAUCUUCCAAGAUUUCUCAGCUUCUUCAAUACAGAGAGGGUCACAGCAUUUUCAAAACUGUCUUCAAUGAUGAUCUUUUAAUUGUGAUGAAAAUGAAGGUUUAGAAAUCACACAUGUCACCAAACAAUCCUCCCUUCUGAAGCUGUGUCCUAGUGGUGUGUCCCACCCCAUCUCAGACACAAAGACAGCUCUACAAAACAAACGAACAAAAAAAUUCUAAAAUUAACCAACUAUAAUAAUUUCCCAGACACCCAGAGACAUCUAAUCUGCUUUCACAUCAUAUGAUAUCUCUCAAAGACAGUUCAGAUUAACACACUUUUCUAUUCCUUCUUUCCUUGUUUCUUCCAUUCUUCCUUCUCUUUCCUUGCUUCCUUCCUUCUUUCCUUCCUCCCAUCCACCUUUCUCUCUCUCUUUCUUUGUUUCUUUGUUUCUUUCAUUCUUUCUCUUUCUUUGUUGCUAAGUGUACUGAAACAUUCUUCCAGCUCAGAUGGAUCCUUAGCUAUGUUCAAAAUAACACAUAUUGAAAAUGAGCAAGCAAACAUGAAGCAAAAACUUGAUUAGACUCAUAAGAUAUAAAGGAUCCUUUUGUUUUAUAACAAUUAUCACAUUACAAGCCUAAUGUUCUCCAUGUUCAUUGUUCUGGGGGCGGGGGGGCAUCAAACCAUACAUUUCUCAAAGCAUCUGACAUGGGAAAAGAGCUGGGAAAUUUAACCUUAGGGGAUGGGGUAAGGAGUAUAGCCCUCACCAAAUGAGCCAGAUAUAGACAUGGUUUAAUGGUAGACUGGGCAUUUGAAUGUAUUCCAGACUUUAGGGUCCCAAUACCCUAAUUAUAUGUAGCAUGUGUGCUGUGCAUACAAGUAGAAAUUCCUGAAUUAUUCCUUACCCAUCACUUCCAGAGUCUCUCCAGCACAUGUGCAGCUGAGAAGCUUUCGGGUAGGGAGGUAAGAGAUCUCUGCUAGCAAAGAAUAUGCAGAUGGCAAGUAAGCUAAUGCCCUAAGAAUGCAUUGCCACCCUUUUAAAUAGCACACUAAAAGCCUUCUUUUGCUUAUAAGGUGUUUUUUAGUCUCUUAAUUUUUUUCCAUCUCCUGGUAAACAGCCUUUCAUUGUAACUCACAUCACUUAUAAAACCUAAAUGCCUGGUUAAAGGGCAGGCUCUAUAAGAGCUAAAUGUGAUGGGAAGGAGGUAAGAAGGUUGGAGUGGACUUUGCAGGGAAGAAUUGCCGUGAAAAUACAAUCAAAAUACAUCCUGAAAUUCUC
rnacentral:lncRNA from 1 species